rnacentral:rRNA from 1 species
UUGACCUCGGAUCAGGUAGGGAUACCCGCUGAACUUAAGCAUAUCAAUAAGCGGAGGAAAAGAAACCAACCGGGAUUGCCCUAGUAA